UACGAAGGGGGCUAGCGUUGUUCGGAAUUACUGGGCGUAAAGCGCACGUAGGCGGAUUUGUCAGUUAGGGGUGAAAUCCCGGGGCUCAACCUCGGAACUGCCUUUGAUACUGCAAGUCUCGAGUCCGGAAGAGGUGAGUGGAAUUCCUAGUGUAGAGGUGAAAUUCGUAGAUAUUAGGAAGAACACCAGUGGCGAAGGCGGCUCACUGGUCCGGUACUGACGCUGAGGUGCGAAAGCGUGGGGAGCAAACAGG
rnacentral:rRNA from 1 species